rnacentral:rRNA from 1 species
UACGUAGGGGGGCUAGCGUUGUCCGGAUUUAUUGGGCGUAAAGAGCGUGUAGGCGGUCAGGUAGGUCGGUUGUGAAAACUGGAGGCUCAACCUUCAGAGGUCGACCGAAACCCCCUGGCUAGAGUCCGGGAGAGGAGAGUGGAAUUCCUGGUGUAGCGGUGAAAUGCGCAGAUAUCAGGAAGAACACCCGUGGCGAAAGCGGCUCUCUGGAACGGUACUGACGCUGAGACGCGAAAGCGUGGGGAGCGAACAGG